UACGGAGGGUGCCAGCGUUGUCCGGAUUCAUUGGGUUUAAAGGGUGCGCAGGCGGAAGCUUAAGUCGGGGGUGAAAGACGGUGCUCAACAAUCGCAGUGCCUUCGAUACUGGGUUUCUUGGGUGGAGUCGAGGCGGAUGGAAUGCAAGGUGUAGCGGUGAAAUGCAUAGAUACCUUGCAGAACUCCAAUUGCGAAGCAGUCCGCUAGGCUUC
rnacentral:rRNA from 1 species